rnacentral:rRNA from 1 species
CACGGGGGGAGCAAGCGUUGUUCGGAAUCACUGGGCGUAAAGGGCGUGUAGGCGGUCAAGUAAGUGGAAUGUGAAACGCCUCGGCUUACCCGAGGACCUGCAUCCCAAACUGCUUGGCUUGAGUAUGGGAGAGGAUGAGGGAAUUCCUGGUGUAGCGGUGAAAUGCGUAGAUAUCAGGAGGAACACCGGUGGCGAAGGCGACUACCUGGCCUGUUCUUGACGCUGAGGCGCGAAAGCUAGGGGAGCAAACGGG